UCUCCGUAGGUGAACCUGCGGAGGGAUCAUUACAGAGUUCAUGCCCUACCGGGUAGAUCUCCCACCCUAUGUUAUUAUUACAUUGUUGCUUUGGCGGGCCGUUAGGCUCCGGCCCGACUACCGGCCCCGGCUGGUAAGCGCCCGCCAGAGGACCCAAAACCCUGAAUAUUAGUGUCGUCUGAGUACUAUAUAAUAGUUAAAACUUUCAACAACGGAUCUCUUGGUUCUGACAUCGAUGAAGAACGCAGC
rnacentral:misc_RNA from 1 species